UUAAGGUGGUACCUAACACUACUGGGAGAUAACUCUGUAAAGUCAGCUAAACGUUUUGAUUACGUUGUGUUGUAAAGGGAAUAUAAAGAUUCUCAAUGAUAAAAAAAUGGUGUUUGUCAAACUGCUAUAUAACCAGUGUAAUUUUUCUGACAAAACGGUUGGUUCAAAAUUUUUGAAAUUUUUAUAUUUUUGUUAAAGGGUCAAAGUAAGUACUUUGACAAAAUUUUAUGAAAAUUAAACGAGCCAAAUUAAUUUUAGUGCAAGUGUUGGGUACCACCUUAAG
rnacentral:lncRNA from 1 species